CCCUUAGAUGUCCUGGGCUGCACGCGCGCUACACUGACGAACUCAACGAGCUUAUCGCCUUGGCAGAGAUGUCUGGGUAAUCUUUUGAAAGUUCGUCGUGCUGGGGAUAGAUGAUUGUAAUUAUUCGUCUUGAACGAGGAAUUCCUAGUAAGUGUGAGUCAUCAGCUCGCGCUGAUUACGUCCCUGCCCUUUGUACACACCGCCCGUCGCUCCUACCGAUUGAAUGGUCCGGUGAGGUUCUCGGAUUUUUUCUGUUGUUUGGUUCGCUAAACGAUUGAAGAGAGAAGUUACCCAAACCUUACCAUUUAGAGGAAGGAGAAGUCGUAACA
rnacentral:rRNA from 1 species